GGCAGAAGUAAAGAUAUUUGGUAGGGCCAGAAGCUACAGAAAAGGAGUAACAAGUAUGGAAAGACACCUACUAGUUUCCUAGAAUGAUGAAGAACUGAAACAGAAGACUGCCUGCUAGGACUGCUUUCAGUACCAUCAACCAUGGCAUCCUUCUGGGGAAAAUGUCUGAGAUGAGAGUGGAGACUACUGCAUUGUAGAGGUUUCCAUUCCUACCUGGGUGGAUGGCUCCAAAGGGUGGUGCUUGUUGAAUACUGCUCAGUCCCAUGGAUACUCCAGUAUUGGGUUCCUCAGGGACCAGUAUUAUCUCCUCUGCUGUUCUACAGCUACAUGAAACUGAUGUGGCUGCGGAUGUGCUAAACCAGUGCCUGGCUGCUACAAUGGACUGGAUGUCAGCUAAUCAACUGGAGUUCAAUCCAAACAAGACUGAAAUACUGUUGGCCCAAUUCAAAGUGCUGGUUUUAAUCUGUGAAGUCCUUCAUGACUUGGACUGCAAUACCUGAUGGAACUCCUCUCCCAGCCUCAACUUGCCAUCACCUACAUCCAAGACUUUCUUCUGACUGCCACUUCCUAGGGACAAGCAGAAGGAGGACUGCCUUCUCAGAGAUUUCCCCCACCCACCAGUUAGCUCAUGAUCGGCCUCCACUGAGGCCCACCUGGCACCAACACUGCCAUCUUUUCAGUGCCAAGUUAAGAUUGCCUUCUACGCCCAUACAUUUAAUUGCAAAUCACAGAAUAUGUCAAGUGUUUUAACAGGUCUAGUUUUUAUUGAAAUUGCUUUAUUCACUUAAACUGUUCUAAAUUUCGUAGAAGGAAAUUUUAAGAAUUCUUUUAAUGUAUUUGUAUCUAUCUAUUUUUAUUAUUGUACCUUGCUUAUGAAUUUAUGCGAACCAAGAAAGCGUCAGUUGCUCGACAAUGUAGAAAUGAAAUUAAAAGUAAUACUGUCAACAA